GCCUGAAUGGCUCAGGUGGUUAAGUAUCUGACUUCGGCUCAGGUCAUGAUCUCGUAGUCCAUGAGUUCAAGCCUCAUUUAAGGCU
rnacentral:tRNA from 1 species